GUGCUGGGUCUUCAUUGCUGCAUGGGCUUUGCUCUAGCUGAAGAGAGAGGGGGCUACUGUGGUUGCGGUGCACAGGCUUCUCAUUGCCGUGGCUUCUCUUACUGCAGAGCAUGGGGCUCUAGGGUGCUCAGACUUCAGUAUUGCAGUUCCUGGGCUCUAAAGCACAGGUUCAGUAGUCAUGGUGGGAUUGUCCCGGAUCUGGAAUCAAACCUGUGUCUCCUGCGUUGGCAGGCAAUGCUUUACCACUGAGCCACAAGAGAAGCCAAGUUUUUUUUCUUCUUCUUUUUUUUAACUCUUUGAUUUUAUGUGUGGGAAUUGGCGUGUAUGUGGUCUCUCAACCAUGCAUGAAGUAUCUGAAAAUCAAGUCCACACAUCUGGAUGAGUUAAGCAGGGCUGGGGCCAGCGGAUAAACCAGAAACAGUUUUCAGCCCCUUCCUUGCCGAUGAGGCCACUCUAUUUUCUAUCCAAGAGGUCUUCAUGCAUAAUUGUAGUUUUUUUUGCAGCCAAAGAAGAAGGGCAGCUGCUGCUAAUUUAAUGACAUCCAAUUUAGGUGGUAUUUAUUGAGCCUUAUGUGGAAGACACCUUCUUAACAAUGUCCCAGCCUGACACAACACUCGCCCUCAUGUUGGCCCAACAAGAAACCCACAGGAUUCCCAGACCAGAAUGAAGGCCUCCGACCCCCUCAGCAGUGGGGCAAUACGAGGCCUCAGCCGUCACCAGCUGCUCUGACAUUUUGCUUUCUCUCAGUUCAGUUCUGAUGCUGACAUGAUACAGGUUGCUACAGAACUGUUAGAGGUAACUGAAAGAGCCUGCUAGAGCAUUUAAAGCAUUAUUUCAAAAUGGGGAAGAAGGGAAAAAAACAGGCCAAGAAGGAUCUUGCUGGGAGGGGAGUUUGGGGCAGAAUGGAUACACAUAUAUGUAUGGCUGAGUCCCUUUGCUGUUCGCCUGAAACCAUCACAGCAUUGUUAAUCAGCUAUACCCCAAGAGAAAAUAAAAAGUUAAAAAAAUAAGGAUCUCUCUGCUUGUAGUUCUGAUUUUUCCUUUUAUUUUCCUGUUUCCAGAGCACCCAUAAGCGGAAGUGCUCACUUCCAGAUAUCAGUGAAUUCUGGGCACACUAAAUAAAACAAGGCAAAAGACAUUUUUUUUUAAGGCAAUAGCCCCUAAUUGUGACCGCUCCACAUGGUCAGGAAGUGAAGCAGGAGCGGUUUCCAGGGCAUCCAUGGGAGAGGAGACAAAAGCUUGCCUCUUUAUCUCCGAAAAGGGUGCUUUUCCCAAAUUGCUUUCUCCUUUCCCUCCUCGAAAUGUGAAAUGACAAGGUUCUAGCUCUCCGUGAAUCGAUGAUGUUAUAUCAGGGUCCUAAGCUCUCAGGCCAGCCCCGGUUGGGCUCCUGGGGAAGUGAGGGAGGGCUGGGAAUGGGGAGGGGGGAAGAA
ensembl:lncRNA